rnacentral:rRNA from 1 species
AAUGAACGUUGGCGGCGUGGAUUAGGCAUGCGAGUCGUGCGAGAACCGUAGCAAUACGGGGACAGCGGCGAAAGGGAGAGGAACACGUGGGUACCUACCCUCGGACUCAGGAUAGUCAUGGGAAACUAUGAGUAAUACUGAAUAAUGUCUUCGGACCAAAGGUGUGAUUCCGUCCGAGGAGGGGCCCGCGUCCUAUUAGCUAGUUGGUGAGGUAAUGGCCCACCAAGGCGAAGAUGGGUACGGGAUGUGAGAGCAUGAUCCCGCUCAUUGGGACUGCGACACUGCCCAGACACCUACGGGUGGCUGCAGUCGAGAAUCUUCGGCAAUGGGGGAAACCCUGACCGAGCGACGCCGCGUGUGAGAUGAAGGCCUUCGGGUUGUAAAUCACUGUCAGUGGGGAGGAAAUGCUGGUGGGUUCUCCCAUCAGUUUGACCUAUCCGCAGAGGAAGGACGGGCUAAGUUCGUGCCAGCAGCCGCAGUAACAC